CCAGACUCCUACGGGAGGCAGCAGUGGGGAAUAUUGCACAAUGGGGGGAACCCUGAUGCAGCGACGCCGCGUGAGUGAAGAAGUAUUUCGGUAUGUAAAGCUCUAUCAGCAGGGACGAAAAUGACGGUACCUGAGUAAGAAGCCCCGGCUAACUACGUGCCAGCAGCCGCGGUAAUACGUAGGGGGCAAGCGUUAUCCGGAUUUACUGGGUGUAAAGGGAGCGUAGACGGUUAUGCAAGUCUGGAGUGAAAGGCGGGGGCUCAACCCCCGGACUGCUCUGGAAACUGUAGAACUAGAGUGCAGGAGGGGUAAGUGGAAUUCCUAGUGUAGCGGUGAAAUGCGUAGAUAUUCGGAGGAACACCGGUGGCGAAGGCGGCCAACUGGGCUUUAACUGACGCUGAGGCUCGAAAGUGUGGGGAGCAAACAGGAUUAGAUACCCCGGUAGC
rnacentral:rRNA from 1 species